rnacentral:rRNA from 1 species
GACGAACGCUGGCGGCGUGCUUAACACAUGCAAGUCGAACGCUGAAGCUCAGCUUUUGUUGGGUGGAUGAGUGGCGAACGGGUGAGUAACACGUGAGUAACCUGCCUCCUUCUUUGGGAUAACGCCCGGAAACGGGUGCUAAUACUGGAUAUUCACUGGUCUUCGCAUGGGGGUUGGUGGAAAGGGUUUUUCUGGUGGGGGAUGGGCUCGCGGCCUAUCAGCUUGUUGGUGGGGUGAUGGCCUACCAAGGCUUUGACGGGUAGCCGGCCUGAGAGGGUGACCGGUCACAUUGGGACUGAGAUACGGCCCAGACUCCUACGGGAGGCAGCAGUGGGGAAUAUUGCACAAUGGGCGCAAGCCUGAUGCAGCGACGCCGCGUGAGGGAUGGAGGCCUUCGGGUUGUGAACCUCUUUCGCACAUGGUCAAGCCGCAACAAUGGUUGUGGUGAGGGUAGUGGGUAAAGAAGCGCCGGCUAACUACGUG